UACAGAGGGUGCGAGCGUUAUUCGGAAUUAUUGGGCGUAAAGCGUGCGUAGGCGGUUUCGUAAGUCGGGUGUGAAAUCCCCGGGCUCAACCUGGGAAUUGCAUUCGAAACUGCGAGGCUAGGGUACGGAAGAGGGAAGCGGAAUUUCUGGUGUAGCGGUGAAAUGCGUAGAUAUCAGAAGGAACAUCAGUGGCGAAAGCGGCUUCCUGGUCCAGUACCGACGUUCAGGCACGAAAGCGUGGGGAGCAAACAGG
rnacentral:rRNA from 1 species